rnacentral:lncRNA from 1 species
AAUUAACAGUGUAAAACUCAUCAUACACUAAAAAAUCUCUCUCUCUCUCUCUCUCUCUCUCUCUCUCUCUCUCUCUCUCUCUCCAUAUCUACUAUAUAUAAAAACACAUAUUUUAAAUUUAAAUCACUUCAUUUAAAUUUUUCUCCAUACGCAAAAUGAAUAACGUAACGAAACAAAUUUUACAUCCUCUUUUUUUCUCCGCCUUUAGUAUUUUAUUUUUUUAUUAAAUAUUUUUAUCAUUCACUAUCGUUUCUUCUUAAGAUAAAUAUUUAUAUAUUUUUUCUAUUCUAUCUACUAAUAUUUUAUUGGUAUAUUAACUUUUUAAUUUUCAUACUUUUAGUUUAAAAUAUAUAUUUGAAUUUUAAAUUUAUCAUAACUAAAAAUAUAGAAAAAUAUUUAAUGUAUAUCUAUAUAUAUCUACACUAUAUAUAAAUUUUAUAAAAUAAAAAUAAUUAUAUGAUUAUUGUUGGCAACAACUAUUUAAAUUUGAGUUAGAUAUGACAGAUAUUUUCUUAUAGUAUAUAAUAAAUGAAUUAAUUUUUUAAAUUUAAAUUUUAUACUAUAAUUUUUUUAAUAAAUAUGAUAUAUAAAUUUAUAUUAAUUUGAGAUAAUUAUUAAAAUAUUUGUUAUAUGUAUUUGCACAUAUACUCAACUAGUGUGUGUAUAUAUAGAGUAGGGCUACUAUGCUAUCGGAAGCAUAGAGCAUCUGAUGCUUUCGAUUUUUUGGCCCUUAGAUCAACUCCUUUGAUCAUUUCUAACCUUUGGAUUAAUAUUAUUACCAUGUGGGGACCACUCAACCCUAUGGGUACUACUCAAUUCUCGAGGGAUCGCAAUCAUCCCAACCGUAUAAUUUUUGAUCCAAUGGUCAAAAAAUUGGAAGCAUCAUAUCCUCUAUACUUCCGAUAGCAUAGUAGCUCUACACUAUAUAUAUAUAUAUAUAUAUAUAUAUAUAUAUAUAUAGGCUAUGGCUACUAUACUAUUAUGAGUAUUGGAGCUCUCGUACUCAUAACUUGUUUUCAAUGAUGGAGCUUCCGAAUCGAUGAUCCACUCCGUUAAAUAUGAUCUAGAGUAUUUAAAACUACUAGAAAAUAAAUUUCGUAAAUUUUCGAAAUCAUAAUAAAGUCCAUCAAGUGGGCAUAAAAUGAACGGUCAAAAUUGAACGACGUCCUAAAAAAGGAUGAUCGGAUCCUUUAAUUCAAGUUCGGAGUUAUUGAUCUUUAUCUAUGUAGUGAAUAGAAUUUUCNAGAGAGAGAGAGAGAGAGAGCUAGGCUGGUAUACUAUCGGUAGUACGAAGGCUUCAGUGCUACCAAGUUGUUUUUAAUGAUGCGGCUUUCAAAUUGAUGAUCGACUCCAUUAGACUUGAUCUACAUUAUUAAAAGUAUUUGGAAAUUAAAUUUCAUAAUUUUUCGACAUCAUUUACCUAUCAAACGAGUAAUCUAAAAAUAAACGGCUGAAAAUAAAAAUUUCAUAAAAAAUGAUGACAAAAGGCUUGAAUUUAAGAUCAGAGGUAUUGAUCUUACUCUAAAUAGUGAAAAAAAAAUUCUAUAAAUAUUUCAUCGGAUUUGGAUUAUUUUACACUGUUAAAUUCAUAAACGCAUCAAAUCUACCAUUAAAAUUGUCAAUUUUGAGACCUUUUGAUCACUAGCCAAAUGAUGUCGAAAAAUUAUGAAAUUUAUUUUCCAAAUACUUUUAAUAGUGUAGAUCAAGUCUAACGGAGCCGAUUGUCAAUUUGAAAGCCGCAUCAUUGAAAACAACUUAGUAGAACAGAGGCCUCCGUGCUACCGAUAGUAUACCAGCCUAGCCUAUAUAU